GAUGAACGCGUGGCGGCGUGCCUAACACAUGCAAGUCGAACGAAGCGACUGGAGGAAGUUUUCGGAUGGAAUCCGGUUGACUGAGUGGCGGACGGGUGAGUAACGCGUGGAUAACCUGCCUCACACUGGGGGAUAACAGUUAGAAAUGGCUGCUAAUACCGCAUAAGCGCACAGUACCGCAUGGUACGGUGUGAAAAACUCCGGUGGUAUGAGAUGGACCCGCGUCUGAUUAGCUGGUUGGCAGGGUAACGGCCUACCAGGGCGACGAUCAGUAGCCGACCUGAGAGGGUGACCGGCCACAUUGGGACUGAGACACGGCCCAA
rnacentral:rRNA from 1 species